rnacentral:rRNA from 1 species
GAUCAUGGCUCAAGAUGAACGCUAGCUACAGGCUUAACACAUGCAAGUCGAGGGGCAGCAUGGUCUUAGCUUGCUAAGGCCGAUGGCGACCGGCGCACGGGUGAGUAACGCGUAUCCAACCUGCCUUACACUCUUGGACAGCCUUCUGAAAGGGAGAUUAAUACAAGAUGUUAUCAUGAGUAAGCAUUUUCACAUGAUUAAAGGUUUACCGGUGUAAGAUGGGGAUGCGUU